rnacentral:piRNA from 1 species
UGAAUUGUGGUCUCCCAAGAAGA